GAGAUGGAUGUAAAGGUCCAGCUCACGAAUUCCGGACUAUGCGGGUGUAGACCAAGAAGACACCAGGAGGAGAGGCCUACAGUGAACCCAGCCUGAGCGGGCUACAACGGGGGCAGCCAGGCACCUGUCGUAGCGGAGAUGGGUAAUCAUCUGGAGUCUUCGUGACUGAUCCAACCUGAAACGAGUGCCUGUUGGGAGUCUCAGGUCCACCCCAGCUCAGAGGAAGGAGCAGGAAAGCCCAGAUCCCGCCUCGGGUUCUCACCAAGCCAAGCGACCCGGAGCGCUCCCGGAGGCGCCCAGAGGCCGGCCGGCUGGGGGUGGGGCUCGUGCUGUGACGCCGCCCCCCGCCUCGCCCCGCCCCGCGCGCGUUGCCGGGGUGAUCAGGUGACUCGGAGCUCUAGGCGCUCCGGGCAGCGGUGACGUCAGGCUCGCCGCUGCUCCUCUCUCGCUCGGUGGCAGGUGCGGAGCAUCUGGUGCGGUCUCAUCUGGUCGGGUCAGGUCUCUACCAAACCAGUGCCCUACGGAUUCGAGAAGAGGAGAGGUGAUUGGUCCCUGCUCUCAAGGCCUGCAGUCUACUGAGGAAGGCAGGCAGAAGGCCACUAAAUAGAUACAGAAGAUACUUGUCUGUCAAUUGUGGAAAUGGUGAGAAAGAAACAAUGGGCAGGACUGAAGGUUUGUGAGAG